AACGAACGCUGGCGGCAGGCUUAACACAUGCAAGUCGAGCGAAGACUUCGGUCUUAGCGGCGGACGGGUGAGUAACGUGUGGGAACGUGCCUAGCUCUGCGGAAUAGCCUCGGGAAACUGAGAGUAAUACCGCAUACGCCCUUCGGGGGAAAGAUUUAUCGGAGCUAGAUCGGCCCGCAUCUGAUUAGGUAGUUGGUGGGGUAAUGGCCUACCAAGCCUACGAUCAGUAGCUGGUUUUAGAGGAUGAUCAGCCACACUGGGACUGAGACACGGCCCAGACUCCUACGGGAGGCAGCAGUGGGGGAAUCUUAGACAAUGGGGCGCAAGCCUGAUCUAGCCAUGCCGCGUGAGUGAUGAAGGCCUUAGGGUCGUAAAGCUCUUUCGCCAGGGAUGAUAAUGACAGUACCUGGUAAAGAAACCCGGCUAACUCCGUGCCAGCGCCGCGGUAAU
rnacentral:rRNA from 1 species